ACAUCUAGGACUGCCACUAACAGCUGGGCAUGCUCAUUGGCUUAUCUAUGAUGUCACAGACAGAAUUAACUAAUGUCAAAGGUGCCUUCUAGCUCUGACAUGGAACACACCAAGCAGCGUGGGACAUGACGAGUUAAAUUAUCAAACAUUCUUAGGAUGGUUUGUCUUAAAACUCAGCCAUGGAACACUGUGCUGUCUUCGAUCUUGGGAUUUUGUUUUCCCAAAAGACCUUUUCACCCAUCCUUAUGAAUCAGUGCUGGAAGGAAGAAAGCAAAGCAUAGAAGAAAAAGCCACGAUGAAGGAUGCAGGCGCUCACCAAUCCAGCCACCACCAAUCCAAACUCUGUGAUUCUGAUUCCCCUUCUCACAAAAGAGGCAUCCAGCAGAACUUUGAAAGCCUCCAGGGCAGGUGAAGGAUUAGUGUGGGGAAAGGGUUCCUAUAGCAUCCUCCUAGCCUAAGCGGUUGAGAGUCAUAUCUUUACGAUUUCUAACACAGCAGCAUCUUGGUUAACAGUGACAGUCACAGAGCUGGUUUGUGCUGGUCAUUCAGAAGCUGUAGUGACUCUCUGGUACUCAGCCAGAUCACCUUGCAAGCCUUAAUGCUAUGGCUGGCCAGGAAAAGGAAGAGUCACAUCAGUGGUGGUAUAUCAAGUGAAACUAAGUAUAUAUGGCUCACACGCCCUACAAAGACCAGCCACACUUCCCUCUGAAGACAUGCCACUGGUCUGAGCCCCUCAAGCAUAUCCUGGUGUAUUCAAACACUUCUCUGUAUAGCCAGGAUAUAUCCAGAAAACUAGAAUGCAUAGAAAGUAUUACAGGAGGUCUGAGGAAAAGCUCUUUUUGAAUCCGCACAUCACGUUUGGACCCUGGCUCCAUCCAUUCCCAGCUGUUUGAACAAAUGCUGCUAAUUAAACUCUAAGCUUCCAUUUCCUCAACUCUGACGUGGAGAUAACGGUAGCAUCUGUCUACUGGAUUUUAAAAGAAGCGAUGCAUAUUUAAUCAUGUAUUCCAUAUCUGGGAAGUGAUGGGUACCACAUAAAUACCAGCUGCUGUAGUAAAUAAUAGCUCAUCCAUCUCUAUCUCCAAACAGAAGUAACUAAAGUGGACUCAAGGCUCAAGUCCCAAGAAGAGAAAACGAAGAGUAUGGAGUUAAGUCAGAUGAUCAGGAUGCCUGCUUCAAGACAGUGUCUUCUAGAAGUAAGAGGAAAGCUGCACCCGUGACAUCUCAGUGAUAGAGCUGGCUAAACAAGACCUGCUUAGUGACAGCACUGGGGGCAUGCCAACACAAAGUUUCCAAAGCCCCACCCCUAGAUGAAGAGCUGUGGAUCAAGAGAGUACAAGUCCCAGACAGGUUAUGCAAUCCUAAGUAGUCAGCCCUAGACGCAUAUGAGCAACACUACAGGGACUCAGGAGCUUGAUAUACACGUAACAAUAAUGAGAAAGAAGAGAUUAUGAACGUCAGAGGGUUGGCGAUGCGGAGGCGGAGGUGGCGGCUCGCCGUGGUGUGGACUGCGCAGAUGCCGGUCCACUAGGGUGAAACACAUCUUCUACGCCGGCCUGUCCUGCCUGAGCAGGACCUGUAGCACCUCCACCCCCAAACAGGUCACUCAGCAGUUCAGAAUUGCUGGGAGGAGCUGCCAGGGGAGAGAAGUUCGCGCUCACAUCAGACCCUUCCAGGCCCAGAAGGUCCACCUCCUCUGGGGGAGGAGGCGCAGCUGGCUCCUGCUGCUUUUUGCCUGGCUUCUUGGCUCCGUGAGGCUUGUCACCUUCUGCAUUGCCAUGCGGGCUGGAGAGGGUCAGUAGCUCAUCAUCUGACUGCUCACUUUCCUGAUUCACCAGGGCAGCAUGGUCCUCCUCACAGCGUGAUUUCUCUGAUUUCUGAUCUAAAGAGGGCCAAUGUGCAAAUAAAUGAUUACGUAACUGA